rnacentral:rRNA from 1 species
GAGUCAACGUAGCAAUACGUGGCAUACGGCUCAGUAACACGUAGUCAACAUGCCCAGGGGACGUGGAUAACCUCGGGAAACUGAGGAUAAACCGCGAUAGGUCAUAGUAUCUGGAAUGAUUUACGGCUCAAAUCUACAUGGCCUCUGGAUUGGACUGCGGCCGAUCAGGCUGUUGGUGAGGUAAUGGCCCACCAAACCUAAAACCGGUACGGGCUCUGAGAGGAGAAGCCCGGAGAUGGGCACUGAGACAAGGGCCCAGGCCCUAUGGGGCGCAGCAGGCGCGAAAACUCUGCAAUAAGCGAAAGCUUGACAGGGUUAUUCUGAGUGAUUUCCGCUAAGGAAAUCUUUUGGCACCUCUAAAAAUGGUGCAGAAUAAGGGGUGGGCAAGCCUGGUGUCAGCCGCCGCGGUAAUACCAGCACCCCGAGUGGUCGGGACGAUUAUUGGGCCUAAAGCAUCCGUAGCCGGUUCUACAAGUCUUCCGUUAAAUCCACCUGCUCAACAGAUGGGCUGCGGAGGAUACUAUAGAGCUAGGAGGCGGGAGAGGCAAGCGGUACUUAGUGGGUAGGGGUAAAAUCCGUUGAUCCAUUGAAGACCACCAAUGGCGAAGGCGGCUUGCCAGAACGCACUCGACGGUGAGGGAUGAAAGCUGGGGGAGCAAACCGGAUUAGAUACCCGGGUAGUCCCAGCUGUAAACGAUGCAGACUCGGUGAUGAAUAGGCUUCGUGCCUAUUCAGUGCCGCAGGGAAGCCGUUAAGUCUGCCGCCUGGGGAGUACGGUCGCAGGACUGAA